rnacentral:lncRNA from 1 species
GUUUAUGUAUUACUCUAUUCAGAAGAUUUAUUAAUAGUUUUACAUUCAUAAAUUUUAUUCUACAGAUAGCUCCUCUUUUAACCGUCCUAUGACCUAACACCGAAAAAAACAACAUUUUCUGCAUAAAAGGGUCUCAAAACUUUUUCGUCUCGCUCCGCUCGGCGGUAGUUGCAUGCACAUCGUUUCUUUCUAGCUACGCCCC